AAAAAUAAUAAUAAUAAGCGCAGAUCUGAUCUAGGAGUUCCUAACCAUUUUACAACAAUGUAAUCUUUGGGAGACUUGGGACAGCCAUUUCUAAGAAGGGUCUGAGCUGACCCCUGCAUAGAAAGGAACUGUAGGGGCUGGCUGACACUCCACAAGAAAGGCCCUAGACCCUGAAUAUUGGGAACAUCAGGCUCCCAUUCCCAGAAGCCACUAAACGGUGCCCUGGGGCUCUUGGAAGUCCAGCAGGGUUUCCUUGUUCCAGGUUCUUCUUUACCUAAAUCCAUUGACUGUUAGAACCCAUUACUUGCAGAAGACCUAAACCAGGCCUGCCUGUUUUAGCAGAACCUCUUUUGCUGAGGCUAGUCUGAAUAUGAAGACCUAGGGAAAAAGCAAGAAUUUGUUCUACAGUGAGUAACAGGAGAAACCUGAUGCUGGCUUUUCACCUGAGAAGGUGACUUUCUUUUCCAGGUUUUCAUUAUGUCCUGGGUCCUGUGACUUGAGCUCCAACAUUCCUUACAUCAAUGGUUGAUGGUUGAUUACAGGACGGUUGUAGGACUUGCAGAAUGACCCUAUCUGACUUGUAGGAGUUCCUAGCAAUCUUACCGUCAUAAUGCUAUCUCUGGUCCCUAUCUUCCAGAACCCCUCACUCAUUGUACAUUGGCUGGGCACCUGACAAAGCUCACUCAAUCCUAUGCUGCCAAGCCCCAUUAUCUACCCUGUCCCCUCCCCUACCUAAGUUCUAGCCAUACAACCAGCCACCACAGCCUAUCACUGCCACUCUUCCCUGGAGGGCCUCAAAGGAGUCCCGCCUUGCCCUCCUCACCCAGCUGGCCCGCUGGGGACUGGUCUCCAGGGACCAGUCCACUAUGUACCUGUGGACAACCUUUCCCUGUGCCAUUUUUGCAGUUCAGAUGUGCAGGAAGCUUGCUCUGCCUGCUUUCGGCAGCUCCCCAGGGCUGAGCAGCCUGCAUAGCCCAAAACUAGUGUUCCGCAAUUGCUGGUUGAACUGAAACCCACUGUGGUUGCUGUUCUUUCUUCUUGUUCCCACACUUAGCUCCCUCCUAGUCUUAAGUAACGAACCAUAUUAGCCUUAGCCAGGAAACUGAAGAGCCAGUCCAGAGGCAGGGGGAGGAGCCAGCCCUGGUCUGGUCAUCCAUCUGAUCAGCACCAAGGCUUUCCAGUGGCCCUCCCUUACACAUUUCUUGUGUUUCCUUCUGUGGACUCUUACCAAGACACGGGUAUAACUUACUUAGCUUCAAAUCUAGAGGAAAGACUCUGACUGGAGCAACUAGAGGAGGGUAUUUUGGCACUGAGAGGGAAGGUGCAAAAGAAGGACAAGGAGAUCUGGUGCUGGGAACAUGGGUUUCACAUGCACAAGUCCACAUAUACACACAUACACACUGAGAUAACACACUCCCACACAGAGAGAGAGUGUCUAGUGUGUCCAUCCAGGGGCUCCUCUGACCUCCAACAAAUACCGCCUCUCUGUCCUAGACUGAGCCCUGGGGUGGGAAUCAUGGGAAGAGAUGUUUCUGGAUAUCCUGAGUAUGAAAUGCAGGAAGGGAAUGUGAAAUAGAAUGGAAAAUGAACAUCGGCAAACAGGGACAGCCACCCUGCUAUAGAUAACUGACUGUGAAGAUUUCAGGCUUAUUCUCCUAAUAAGAAGUUUACCCGGUAGUGUCUAACUCCUCUGCCUUCUCCCGUGCCCUCCUCAGGCCCUGAGCCAGACAGAAUGGCAAAGAGGCUACUAAGGACUGACACAGAGGCAGAGGGGGAAGCAACUUGUGGGGUAAGUCACUCUUGAUCUUCAAGACUGCUGGGCACAAGAGAGUGGGAGAGCCAGAAGAUGCUAAUCCCGUUCUCCAUCUGCUCUACAAGGGCUUCCAUGGCCCAGGUAGCCGGGGCUGCAAGAACACAGAGGCCACCUCUGGUUAUCAGGCCCCUGCGCUUGCAAUAAUUCCACUUCAGCUGUCUUAGCACAUCUCUAGGCCUUCCUUGUGAUGCAAUCGUUACAAGAGCCUGCUCCACCCUCAAGGAGUGAGAAGAUACUUGUGCCGGGAGAGCAGUAUACUCUCUAGCUGGCCAUGGCGAGGGUCACAGGUCUCCCCAAGCUCUGAGGAAAGGUGAAAGAGCAGAGAGCAGAGCUCCCAGACACUAUGUGUCAUCAUGUCUGUGAGCAGAAUGCUGAUAUGUUACUAAAGAAAGCUAGAGACUCUGAAGACCUAGCUGCCAGCUGUACUACUGGCUUAGGCAAGUGAUGCCCAUGCCAGGAGAAGCUCAAGAUGCCUGCCCUCUGGCUGAUAAGCCCUGAGGGCAAGAUGCUCCUGAGGGCUGAGCCAUUACUGAAAAAAGUUGUCUCACGGCAAGUAAAGGCUAAAGAAGAAAGCGAUGGUAAGAGUGUCAAGGUAAG
rnacentral:sRNA from 1 species